rnacentral:rRNA from 1 species
AUUGAACGCUGGCGGCAGGCCUAACACAUGCAAGUCGAGCGGAGCGGCGGACGGGUGAGUAAUGCCUAGGAAUCUGCCUGGUAGUGGGGGAUAACGUCCGGAAACGGGCGCUAAUACCGCAUACUAUCAGAUGAGAAGAGGUAGGAUUAGCUCGUGGGUGGGGUAAAGGCCUACCAAGGCGACGAUCCGUAACUGGUCUGAGAGGAUGAUCAGUCACACUGGAACUGAGACACGGUCCAGACUCCUACGGGAGGCAGCAGUGGGGAAUAUUGGACAAUGGGCGAAAGCCUGAUCCAGCCAUGCCGCGUGUGUGAAGAAGAUCUUCGGAUUGUAAAGCACUUUAAGUUGGGAGGCGUUCCCAACCCCCUAAGCACCGGCUAACUCCGUGCCAGCAGCCGCGGUACUUC